rnacentral:rRNA from 1 species
CUUCCGUAGGGUAACCUGCGGAAGGAUCAUUA